rnacentral:rRNA from 1 species
UACGUAGGGGGCAAGCGUUAUCCGGAUUUACUGGGUGUAAAGGGGGCGCAGACGGCAAUGCAAGCCAGGAGUGAAAGCCCGGGGCCCAACCCCGGGACUGCUUUGGAAACUGUGUAACUUGAGUACAGGAGGGGCAGGCGGAAUUCCUGGUGUAGCGGUGAAAUGCGUAGAUAUCAGGAGGAACACCGGCGGCGAAGGCGGCCUGCUGGACUGAAACUGACGUUGAGGCUCGAAAGCGUGGGGAGCAAACAGG